rnacentral:rRNA from 1 species
CGGGACACGUGGUAUCCUGUCUGAAUAUGGGGGGACCAUCCUCCAAGGCUAAAUACUCCUGACUGACCGAUAGUGAACCAGUACCGUGAGGGAAAGGCGAAAAGAACCCCGGCGAGGGGAGUGAAAAAGAACCUGAAACCGUGUACGUACAAGCAGUGGGAGCCUCUUUAUGGGGUGACUGCGUACCUUUUGUAUAAUGGGUCAGCGACUUAUAUUCUGUAGCAAGGUUAACCGAAUAGGGGAGCCGAAGGGAAACCGAGUCUUAACUGGGCGUUAAGUUGCAGGGUAUAGACCCGAAACCCGGUGAUCUAGCCAUGGGCAGGUUGAAGGUUGGGUAACACUAACUGGAGGACCGAACCGACUAAUGUUGAAAAAUUAGCGGAUGACUUGUGGCUGGGGGUGAAAGGCCAAUCAAACCGGGAGAUAGCUGGUUCUCCCCGAAAGCUAUUUAGGUAGCGCCUCGUGAAUUCAUCUCCGGGGGUAGAGCACUGUUUCGGCAAGGGGGUCAUCCCGACUUACCAACCCGAUGCAAACUGCGAAUACCGGAGAAUGUUAUCACGGGAGACACACGGCGGGUGCUAACGUCCGUCGUGAAGAGGGAAACAACCCAGACCGCCAGCUAAGGUCCCAAAGUCAUGGUUAAGUGGGAAACGAUGUGGGAAGGCCCAGACAGCCAGGAUGUUGGCUUAGAAGCAGCCAUCAUUUAAAGAAAGCGUAAUAGCUCACUGGUCGAGUCGGCCUGCGCGGAAGAUGUAACGGGGCUAAACCAUGCACCGAAGCUGCGGCAGCGACGCUUAUGCGUUGUUGGGUAGGGGAGCGUUCUGUAAGCCUGUGAAGGUGUGCUGUGAGGCAUGCUGGAGGUAUCAGAAGUGCGAAUGCUGACAUAAGUAACGAUAAAGCGGGUGAAAAGCCCGCUCGCCGGAAGACCAAGGGUUCCUGUCCAACGUUAAUCGGGGCAGGGUGAGUCGACCCCUAAGGCGAGGCCGAAAGGCGUAGUCGAUGGGAAACAGGUUAAUAUUCCUGUACUUGGUGUUACUGCGAAGGGGGGACGGAGAAGGCUAUGUUGGCCGGGCGACGGUUGUCCCGGUUUAAGCGUGUAGGCUGGUUUUCCAGGCAAAUCCGGAAAAUCAAGGCUGAGGCGUGAUGACGAGGCACUACGGUGCUGAAGCAACAAAUGCCCUGCUUCCAGGAAAAGCCUCUAAGCAUCAGGUAACAUCAAAUCGUACCCCAAACCGACACAGGUGGUCAGGUAGAGAAUACCAAGGCGCUUGAGAGAACUCGGGUGAAGGAACUAGGCAAAAUGGUGCCGUAACUUCGGGAGAAGGCACGCUGAUAUGUAGGUGAAGUCCCUCGCGGAUGGAGCUGAAAUCAGUCGAAGAUACCAGCUGGCUGCAACUGUUUAUUAAAAACACAGCACUGUGCAAACACGAAAGUGGACGUAUACGGUGUGACGCCUGCCCGGUGCCGGAAGGUUAAUUGAUGGGGUCAGCGCAAGCGAAGCUCUUGAUCGAAGCCCCGGUAAACGGCGGCCGUAACUAUAACGGUCCUAAGGUAGCGAAAUUCCUUGUCGGGUAAGUUCCGACCUGCACGAAUGGCGUAAUGAUGGCCAGGCUGUCUCCACCCGAGACUCAGUGAAAUUGAACUCGCUGUGAAGAUGCAGUGUACCCGCGGCAAGACGGAAAGACCCCGUGAACCUUUACUAUAGCUUGACACUGAACAUUGAGCCUUGAUGUGUAGGAUAGGUGGGAGGCUUUGAAGUGUGGACGCCAGUCUGCAUGGAGCCGACCUUGAAAUACCACCCUUUAAUGUUUGAUGUUCUAACGUUGACCCGUAAUCCGGGUUGCGGACAGUGUCUGGUGGGUAGUUUGACUGGGGCGGUCUCCUCCUAAAGAGUAACGGAGGAGCACGAAGGUUGGCUAAUCCUGGUCGGACAUCAGGAGGUUAGUGCAAUGGCAUAAGCCAGCUUGACUGCGAGCGUGACGGCGCGAGCAGGUGCGAAAGCAGGUCAUAGUGAUCCGGUGGUUCUGAAUGGAAGGGCCAUCGCUCAACGGAUAAAAGGUACUCCGGGGAUAACAGGCUGAUACCGCCCAAGAGUUCAUAUCGACGGCGGUGUUUGGCACCUCGAUGUCGGCUCAUCACAUCCUGGGGCUGAAGUAGGUCCCAAGGGUAUGGCUGUUCGCCAUUUAAAGUGGUACGCGAGCUGGGUUUAGAACGUCGUGAGACAGUUCGGUCCCUAUCUGCCGUGGGCGCUGGAGAACUGAGGGGGGCUGCUCCUAGUACGAGAGGACCGGAGUGGACGCAUCACUGGUGUUCGGGUUGUCAUGCCAAUGGCACUGCCCGGUAGCUAAAUGCGGAAGAGAUAAGUGCUGAAAGCAUCUAAGCACGAAACUUGCCCCGAGAUGAGUUCUCCCUGACCCUUUAAGGGUCCUGAAGGAACGUUGAAGACGACGACGUUGAUAGGCCGGGUGUGUAAGCGCAGCGAUGCGUUGAGCUAACCGGUACUAAUGAACCGUGAG